CAACUCCUCUCUAAGCUCCUGUUCUUCCUUUUACUGUGCCACAGAGGAGUUCACCUUCGUUUUCCUUGAGGGCCUUGCAGCCUAGAGAGGACUCGGCACACAGCCCAAGCCACAUGGAUACACAGAGGCUCAACACGCACAUUGAUCCUGACAUCUAAGAUUGAGGACAGUUUCUACUGUGGUCUCAGCUACAAGCCAAAGACUCAACAUACAGAUAUACAGAUGCUUUUGUGUUAUUACUGUGCUCCCUCUGAGACACAGACACACUCCAGACUUUAAUAAAUGUUGCCUCUGAUUCAGAUGUAUUUCUCUGUAAUUCACAACAGAUGGCUAUCAUCUAUCCUCUACAUUGAUUUAAACAUAAUGUAUCAUCCAGUAUAAUGGAUAUUGGUAUACUAUUACAUUACCAUGUACUGUCUCAUGCAAUGUACUUCUGGGUAUUUAUGAGUUUUAUAUAGCCUUUUCUACGCCUUUUAAAUGCUCAUAAAGCUCUGCUUUAAAAUUGUUCUCUGAUCAUACACACAUUUGUUCAGGCUUAAACUCGUGUGUAAUGGUUGUUUUUCAUCAGAAAAGUUAAUUACAGAUCAGUGAAGGCACAUUUAAUAAUGAUUAUUUGUUCUGUCCCUGAGAUUAACACAACUAUCUAUUCUGUGUGAGACUGUAAUUACAGGGUUGAUCAAUUCAGCUUUUACUAUGGCCUUUAGAUCAAGUGCAUGCAUCAUUUUAGAGUUGUGAGAAUCACAGAAGAGCAGUUUUCAGUUUGUUGGGCAUAAUUAUAGCAGCAGUACUGCAUUUACAGGCUGAACAGGCAAAACAGGGUUGCAAAUGAACAAAAGAGAGUGUCUGAGUAUUAUGUUUCUCAACAUGAUCCAUUUAGUACAGGCUAUACAUGUCCUGUGCUCACCAUUACAUGUGAACAUGUUCCUGCACAGCAUUUCCACAUACACUCCUUAUUUGUGCUAAGUAAUAGCAUCUGCCUUUGUGUCAGUCAGUCGGUGACAUUUGGCCCUGGAAUUACUGUCUAUAUUUCAUUAGUGGUCAUAAUCCAGGGUUGAGCUGGAUAUGCAGAUGAUUUCACAGUGUAAUAGAGCAGAGUAUAUAAUCCAAAAGCCUAAUGUAUCCUGCAAGAGAUUUAACAUCUGAACGAUACAUUAUUUGCUUCUGGCUUGUGAUAUGACACACACUGUGAUUGGAUCUGUAUCUUUUGAAACACAUACUGAGAACAGAUUCUGCCUAAAACUAAGAUUGUUAGAGAAAACUUAAUCCAGUUAAAUGGAGUACUUCACCAUUUUCAACCCAAUCUCUACCCAUGGAUCUAUAGUUUACAGUAAGUGUGAUUAUUACAAAAAAUAUACAA
ensembl:lncRNA